rnacentral:rRNA from 1 species
CCCGAGGAAAAGAAAUCAACCGAGAUUCCCCCAGUAGCGGCGAGCGAACGGGGAGGAGCCCAGAGCCUGAAUCAGCAUGUGUGUUAGUGGAAGCGUCUGGAAAGGCGCGCGAUACAGGGUGACAGCCCCGUACACAAAAGCGCAUGUGCUGUGAGCUCGAUGAGUAGGGCGGGACACGUGGUAUCCUGUCUGAAUAUGGGGGGACCAUCCUCCAAGGCUAAAUACUCCUGACUGACCGAUAGUGAACCAGUACCGUGAGGGAAAGGCGAAAAGAACCCCGGCGAGGGGAGUGAAAAAGAACCUGAAACCGUGUACGUACAAGCAGUGGGAGCACAGGUUUACCUGUGUGACUGCGUACCUUUUGUAUAAUGGGUCAGCGACUUAUAUUCUGUAGCAAGGUUAACCGUAUAGGGGAGCCGGAGGGAAACCGAGUCUUAACCGGGCGUUAAGUUGCAGGGUAUAGACCCGAAACCCGGUGAUCUAGCCAUGGGCAGGUUGAAGGUUGGGUAACACUAACUGGAGGACCGAACCGACUAAUGUUGAAAAAUUAGCGGAUGACCUGUGGCUGGGGGUGAAAGGCCAAUCAAAC